rnacentral:lncRNA from 1 species
UGAGAACAGAAAGUUAGCCAAGCUGCACUAGAGGUCAUCUCCUACCUGAGUACUCUGCACAUGCCUAUCUCCGAUAUCAAACUGAGAUAUCUGAAGCAUAGUUUGCCUGCUGGCUCAUACAUGAUGGUCCAGCCCCACCCCACAGCUCUAUGUACAAGUGGCAGGUUAUGAUGAAAUAAAAGUAGAUGUUAUCUGUAAUGAGGAAGAUGUUCUCCAAACUUGAAGAAAAGCCAAGCUAGAAAAGCAAGAUCUCCUGUCUCUGCGGCCAGCUUGGAUUCUCUGGGCCCAAGCCCCAGCUGCUCUCUGUUGAAGCCAACAGUGCUACGACAGCCACGGACCUGCGUCCACCCCCACCUCCUGCUCUGUCUGCAGCGGAGUCUGGAGUUACAGCCUCGAGGCAAUAAAAUCUGGAGACGGGUUAAAAAAUCCCUGGUCUUUAGGGAGCAUUCUUGCAGGCCUAAUGAAUCCUCCUGAAGCCCAAAUCUCAUGGCAGAAGUUGAAGAUUAGAAAUACUCUGGAGGGACGCAAAUAUUGUGAUGAGAGAAGAGGAGGCUCACAUAAGUACCUAGGCAGAUGGAUGCUUAGCAAAGGAAGGAAACUAUCCCUGCAGGACAGAGCCUCAAAUAAAUGCUCAUUCCAGCUCAGUUACUGGAAGGCAGACAGGAGGGAAGGAGAAGGGCCAGUCUUUUCCUUGCUGCUUCUACAAAUGAGGUGCUGGCCUAGGAGUAGCUCCACAUCCUGUCCCCGUUCCUCCUGCCACCCCAAGAGCAACAAUACAAUUCAACUGGUAAUAAUUCAAAAGUAGACUCUUGAAUAAGGACUUUCUGAAAGCAUCUGACCCCUUUUUUUAGGGGGGGAAGUUACGAAGGAAGAAAGCAAAACCUCGGCUCUGUUUCCUGCUGUUAUGCUGUUUAUUUCACAAUAUUUCCACUGUUAGUGAGCAAACCCUUUGCCUACGAACCAUCACCCUGAAAAGAUGGGUAACCUUGUCUCCAGUUCCUGAGGAGCCUCAUCUCUUCUUACUGAAGCUGUCUAACAAAACUCCCACACAAUGCCCAGUGAGGCAGUUUUAACGCCCCCCAAAUGACUCUGUUGCAUUUUUCCACCUCUGAAGGAAGCGAUAUAAAUAAUCCUCUGCGAAUGCAUUUUCCCAGAGGUAAAGGGAUCAUACUUGAGUUUCACUGAGGAGCACAGUAGAAGAACGCAGAGAACACACAUAAGCCUGUUUCUGCAGGAUCUUGCACUACACGCCUAGCUUGAUGCAAGAGGAAGCUGUUGCACUGAAGUCAGAGAAAUGAUUAGCAGUAGUAAGUUAAGUGCACACAUAAAUUUGUAGGAUCAGGCCCAGCAGAGGGAAGGUCAUGUGAAAAAAAAGGGAAGGGUUUUGUGUGAAAAUUUGAUAGCAUUUUAAAAUAAUCGUCAUGUCACAGGUUUCAUAUAGGCACCACCCCCUUCACAUAUUUCAAAUUUUUCCAUUAAAAUUAUUGACAGUUCAGGGGCACACCAUUUUCAGGGUGUUUGCUUUUUUAAUUUGCUUCCCGCUUUUAUUUUCUUUCCUUUUUCCUGUCUGUUCACUAAGACAGCAUUCAUUUUCAGCUUUCAAAAAAAAAGGUAGGAGGAAUCAAAGAAAGGUAGGCGGAAGCAUUAUUUCAAGGAACAUUUAAUUGUUGAAAAAGACACCUGCUUCCCAGUAAAAUGAUUUCCACACAGAGAAGCGCAGCCAGAUAAAGUGCAGAGGCACUGGCUGAAGUUACAAAGACAUGAGGUGGUUCUCUUAGCAGAACUGAAUAAUGCUUUCAAGCCAGGUAUGUAGCAGGUUUAACUGAUGGACUAGGAAUUGUAUACUCAGCUAGCCUAGCUGUGUAAACAUCCUAUUUUUGUUCCUUCUUGUUUAUGGUAACAACCUGGAUGUUUCCAGCGGGGUUAGUUGCAGCAAUUCAUCUUCAAGUCCAGCCAACAAAAAAGGUAACUUCUAUAAUGUGGAUUUUUUUAAACUGAUUAUAUGAAACUGUAGCAGCUAGAGGAAAGGGAUUCUAAUCUGGGCAAAGUCUCUGGAAACUACUUCCAUAACAAAUUACAUUUUUAUUGUUAUUUCCUGAUUGAGUAAUACAGCUGGAGCAAAGAAAACAUGCAUAAGCGAAGUGUAUCAGGCUAAGCUACGACACAACAAUCUUUGCAGUUUUCUGUUGGCUGCUAAUUCCUGUACCUUGAUCGGAUUCUCCUGGAAAUUGCCUGCUGUUUUCAUGUGGGAGGUAGGAGCGCGGGGCCAAUGUUAAUUUGGGCCGUUAUCUUCCCCUUUUACAGAUGUGGAUACAGAACUUUUUCUGUGUUUUGUACUGCACCUAGCACAGCAGGCUAUGGGUCCAUGACUAACACUUCUGUGGAGGUGCUGGCAGUAUAUGUUCUGGUGCAAGUAUUGUUUUUAAUAAUCCUUAACUGUGUUCCUUCAUUAAAACGCAAUGGAUUGGCUGCCUGAUCCUGAUCUCGCAGUUGCAAAAUGCCUAACAUGGCUGAAAACCACGACUAAAGUCUCCUUGGUUUUACCCACUGACUUUAAUGACGUUCUUGUCAAUUAAUAGUGGGGGUAACCUAAAGAACUGGUGCCUCAGAAACAUCAAAGGAGUUAAAAGUGACUUCAAAAAUGAACAAGUAGCGCUUUGUGUAAUGUCCUUCCUGAGCUUUAAUUUUCAUGGCGCUUGUUGGUUCAGCUAGUGCAAGGAUGAUUUGCUGGCCUGUUGUAACUGUGGGAACACAGGCUCCAGUGUAACACGGGCGCGCUGACUGCAGCACGUGGACAUUUCUCAUCAUGCCUUCGGAUAAAGUGGUAGAAAAUAAACAGUCAGGCACCAGCUCA